rnacentral:rRNA from 1 species
GAUGAACGCUGGCGGCGUGCCUAAUACAUGCCAGUCGAACGCUGAAGGAGGAGCUUGCUCUUCUGGAUGAGUUGCGAACGGGUGAGUAACGCGUAGGUAACCUGCCUGGUAGCGGGGGAUAACUAUUGGAAACGAUAGCUAAUACCGCAUGACAACAGUUAUUGCAUGAUAACUGUUUAAAAGGGGCAACUGCUCCACUACCAGAUGGACCUGCGUUGUAUUAGCUAGUUGGUGAGGUAACGGCUCACCAAGGCGACGAUACAUAGCCGACCUGAGAGGGUGAUCGGCCACACUGGGACUGAGACACGGCCCAGACUCCUACGGGAGGCAGCAGUAGGGAAUCUUCGGCAAUGGACGGAAGUCUGACCGAGCAACGCCGCGUGAGUGAAGAAGGUUUUCGGAUCGGAAAGCUCUGUUGUAAGAGAAGAACGAGUGUGAGAGUGGAAAGUUCACACUGUGACGGUAUCUUACCAGAAAGGGACGGCUAACUACGUG